UACGGAGGAUCCGAGCGUUAUCCGGAUUUAUUGGGUUUAAAGGGUGCGUAGGCGGUUUGAUAAGUUAGAGGUGAAAUGUCGGGGCUCAACCCCGAAACUGCCUCUAAUACUGUUGGACUAGAGAAUAGUUGCGGUAGGCGGAAUGUAUGGUGUAGCGGUGAAAUGCUUAGAGAUCAUACAGAACACCGAUUGCGAAGGCAGCUUACCAAACUAUAUCUGACGUUGAGGCACGAAGGCGUGGGUAGCAAACAGG
rnacentral:rRNA from 1 species